UGGGGGAACCCUGAUUCAGCCAUGCCGCGUGUGUGAAGAAGGCCUUAUGGUUGUAAAGCACUUUAAGCGAGGAGGAGGCUACUUUAGUUAAUACCUAGAGAUAGUGGACGUUACUCGCAGAAUAAGCACCGGCUAACUCUGUGCCAGCAGCCGCGGUAAU
rnacentral:rRNA from 1 species